rnacentral:rRNA from 1 species
AGAUUGAACGCUGGCGGCAGGCCUAACACAUGCAAGUCGAGCGGCAGCACGGGUACUUGUACCUGGUGGCGAGCGGCGGACGGGUGAGUAAUGCCUAGGAAUCUGCCUGAUAGUGGGGGAUAACGCUCGGAAACGGACGCUAAUACCGCAUACGUCCUACGGGAGAAAGCAGGGGACCUUCGGGCCUUGCGCUAUCAGAUGAGCCUAGGUCGGAUUAGCUAGUUGGUGGGUAAUGGCUCACCAAGGCGACGAUCCGUAACUGGUCUGAGAGGAUGAUCAGCCACACUGGAACUGAGACACGGUCCAGACUCCUACGGGAGGCAGCAGUGGGGAAUAUUGGACAAUGGGCGCAAGCCUGAUCCAGCCAUACCGCGUGGGUGAAGAAGGCCUUCGGUUGUAAAGUCCCUUUUGUUUAGGGAAAGAAAGUCCUAGACCGGUUAAUAACCAGUAGGAUGACGUAACCCGAAAGAAUAAGCAACCGGCUAACCGUUACGUGCCAGCAGCCG